UGAUGAUUAUGAGGGCAAUUUCUGAGCAUACCCUUAAAUCUCUCCCAAGCUUGGUAGAGAUUCUCUCCUUUUUUUCUGUUUGAAACUCAAGAUCUUACUUUUCAAAUA
rnacentral:snoRNA from 1 species